rnacentral:pre_miRNA from 1 species
UUUCUAUUCCAAACUAUGUAUCAUCUCGUCAGAAUAUUAUGUCUACACACCAAGUGUAUUGAUCACUUGACGUGGCGUGCAUUUAAGAUACCCGAAGUACGAGAUGAAACACAGUUUGGUAAAAGAUU